rnacentral:rRNA from 1 species
AGUAAAUAGAUACCCCGGUAGUCCACGCCGUAAACGAUGAAUGCUAGCCGUUGGCGAGCUUGCUCGUCAGUGGCGCAGCUAACGCAAUAAGCAUUCCGCCUGGGGAGUACGGUCGCAAGAUUAAACUCAAAGGAAUUGACGGGGGCCCGCACAAGCGGUGGAGCAUGUGGUUCAAUUCGAAGCAACGCGAAGAACCUUACCAGCCCUUGACAUGUCUUCUGUGGUUUCCAGAGACGGAGACCUUCACCUCGGGUGGGAAGAACACAGGUGCUGCAUGGCUGUCGUCAGCUCGUGUCGUGAGAUGUUGGGUUUAAGUCCCGCAACGAGCGCAACCCUCGCCCUUAGUUGCCAUCAUUUAGUUGGGCACUCUAAGGGGUACUGCCGGUGAUAAGCCGGAGGAAGGUGGGGAUGACGUCAAGUCCUCAUGGCCCUUACGGGUCUGGGCUACACACGUGCUACAAUGGCGGUGACAGAGGGAAGCGAAAGCGCAAGCUCUUGCUAAUCUCAAAAACGCCGUCUCAGUUCGGAUU